rnacentral:miRNA from 1 species
CACCUCAUCAACCGGAAGGAAUCCCUUCCGGUUGAUGAGGUUGUUACACUUCAUCAAUUGGAAGGAAUCCCUUCCGGUCCUCAUCGAUCAGAAGGGAUUCCUUUCGAUCGAUGAGGUGUAACAACCUCAUCGACCAGAAGGGAUUCCUUCUGGUCAAUGAGGUG